rnacentral:lncRNA from 1 species
ACAUAGUCCGGAAAUUUAUAAAGUUUUUUAAUAAUUUGUAAAUAAUUCGGCAAUAAUUUGAAAAGAGAUUUUAUUUAAAAAAAUUUGCAUAUUUUUUUGGCCGAAUAGAUUAGAAUACGUGAAUUAUUUGUAAAUAAUAAAUUUAACCUAAAAAUUUGCAUUUUAUUUUAAUUUUUUUGGGAAUAAAUCGCAUUCGCAUUAUCUUAUUCUAAUUUUUAAUAAUUUAUAAAUAAUUCACGUAUUAACUAACUAUGUAAGAGAGUCAAUAAUUGAACUGCCCAUUCAAACAGUUUAAAAAAGUAUUUUUGACUUAUUUAGUUUAUAUAAUU